CGGCCAUGGAUAACCGGGUUCACCUG
rnacentral:piRNA from 1 species